ACGGCUCAGUAACACGUAGACAACCUACCCUCAGCACGGGGAUAAACCCGGGAAACUGGGUAUAAUACCCGAUAGUUCUGGUUUGCUGGAAUGCUUUCCAGGACGAAAGCUCCGGCGACUGAGGAUGGGUCUGCGGCCUAUCAGGUAGUAGUGGGUGUAAUGUACCUACUAGCCUACGACGGGUACGGGUCGUGAGAGCGAGAGCCCGGAGAUGGAUUCUGAGACACGAAUCCAGGCCCUACGGGGUGCAGCAGGCGCGAAAACUUUACAAUGCUGGCAACAGCGAUAAGGGGACCUCGAGUGCCAGGAUACAAUCUUGGCUGUCGCAAUGCCUAAAAAGCAUUGCAUAGCAAGGGCCGGGCAAGACCGGUGCCAGCCGCCGCGGUAACACCGGCGGCUCGAGUGGUAACCGCUAUUAUUGGGUCUAAAGGGUCUGUAGCCGGCCGGAUAAGUCUCUUGGGAAAUCCAGCUGCUCAACAGUUGGGCUUUCAGGAGAUACUGUUCGGCUCGAGGCCGGGAGAGGUGAGAGGUACUUCAGGGGUAGGGGUGAAAUCUUGUAAUCCUUGAAGGACCACCAGUGGCGAAGGCGUCUCACCAGAACGGACCUGACGGCAAGGGACGAAAGCUAGGGGCACGAACCGGAUUAGAUACCCGGGUAGUCCUAGCCGUAAACGAUACUCGCUAGGUGUCAGCCACGGUGCGACCGUGGUUGGUGCCGUAGGGAAGCCGUGAAGCGAGCCACCUGGGAAGUACGGCCGCAAGGCUGAAACUUAAAGGAAUUGGCGGGGGAG
rnacentral:rRNA from 1 species